rnacentral:rRNA from 1 species
GAUAAACGCUGGCGGCGUGCCUAAUGCAUGCAAGUCGAACGGGGUCGCUUCGGCGGCUACCGUGGCGGACGGGUGAGGAACACGUGGGCAAUCUGCCCCGGGGUGGGGGGUAACCCGUGGAAACAUGGGGUAAUUCCGCAUAGCCUCGGUCUCCGGUAGGGAGAUCGAGGAAAGCCUUCGGGCGCCCUGGGAGGAGCCUGCGGCCGAUUAGCUAGCUGGUGGGGUAACGGCCUACCAGGGCGAUGAUCGGUAGCUGGUCUGAGAGGACGGCCAGCCACAGGGGAACUGAGACACGGUCCCCACUCCUACGGGAGGCAGCAGCAAGGAAUUUUCCGCAAUGGGCGAAAGCCUGACGGAGCAACGCCGCGUGCGGGAUGACGCCUUUCGGGGUGUAAACCGCUUUUGUCAGGGACGAAGGCCGGGGUGACCCGGUGAGACGGUACCUGGCGAAGAAGGUCCGGCUAACUACGUGCCAGCAGCCGCCGUAAAAC